rnacentral:rRNA from 1 species
CGAUGCGCUUAGGGGAAACACCCGUACCCAUCCCGAACACGAUGGUUAAGACUUAAGCGGCCGAUGGUACUAUGCUGGAGACGGCAUGGGAGAGCAGGUGGGUGCCAGAU